AUGAACAUAAAAAAGCCACACUUUCGCACAUGUUUAAUGCAAAAAUUUAUAUAUACAAAAUAUUCAAACACUGUAAACGGUAUAACAAUUACAUUCGCUGCUACUCCACGGUUCAGGCAGCCGUCGUUUUCUUUUUCCUCCCUCAGGCCUGCACUGCAUUGCACAAUACAAAUGUGGGUAAUAAAAAAAAGAAAGAAAGAAAACUGAAGUUGGGAAGAGAAAAAAAUUUCAUGCUUGGCACGGAGUUCGUUUCGGCUGUUGCACACUUCCCACAUUUCUUGCACGAGUGAUCCGCGAGGUAUAACAAAACGGCAAUUCCAAAUGGUUUCCAGUCACCAGUUCACAUAAUAGGAAAGAAAACUAUAAUAAAAAGGGCACGAGGAAGUACAUAACAAUGCACUCGUGCGAGAGCCCCCGGCCACGAAGCCACCCUUUGUGCUGUGCGACACGCUUUUUCCGCGCAACCCAGCGGGAACAAUUCGUCACGAGUGAAAGUGGCGAGACGAUCCUUCAGGGUCUUAACACACGUAAGAAUUAAGGCUACGCAAUACCGGUCUUUCGUUUUUGUCUUGCCAUCUUCACGCGAAUUGCACACAAUUGCUGCUCGAUAACGUGUCCAAACAAUCGAUGUUACAACUCGGCACAACGUGCGUCAAACAGCUAAAGCAGGCAACACGACGGCACAGAGUUUUGCAUAAAAUUAUUGCUACCACAGAGCAGUCCAGCAUCGCGAUCGUUCAACCACCGUUCGAAUGACGAAAACCAACCCGUGCGUAAAAGUACCGCACUUAUUCUAAUUUAAGGAGACACUAAAGGGAAACAAUAAAUCAGUUUAGGCUGAUAAAGUGUUCUUUCAGUAGUCCAUUUUCGUUAAUUUUGCGGUUAAGAGGUUGAUUACUAGAACAGAAAAUGAAGGCCAUAGUUCAAUGCCGGUAUAGUUCAAUGCCGGUACGUCAGCGCGACGUCAUCUGUUUUUAAGUAAAUUUCCUCGCAUAUGGGCUAUUGUGGCGCUUUAAGUGUUCUCGGAGUUCAGUCUUUGGCUCCUUUAGAAUACAAUGUAGUCCAUCUUACCGAUAAAAAAAAAUAAUACUAUGCCCGAGCAGAGAGAUAGUACAUUUAAAUAAUGGCUCCAGGCCUAUAUGGGAAAGUGGGUAAGGGAGCAGGGGCCGUCAAAAUGUAUGACGUCACCGUGAGCUGGUGCGCGAAUUGCAAGGCGGCGGCGCCACCCGUCUUUAGGUUUUGCGACUUUUCUGGCUUAUUAAGGCGAGAGUGGUUUUUAUGGUAUUGUAGAAGAGUAAUUUACUAAUACAGCUCAACUUGAUUUUCUAUUUAGCGUCCCUUUAACGGUUUACUUUGUUUUUUCGCGUUCACGACAUGAUAAUGACCAUAGUGAGAAAGCGCGCUUAGAUACAAAGCGAAUUAAACAGCGUUAACACUUCAUUUUUGCUCAAGAAGAUGGAAGGUUGCCUUGACUAGCGGAGUGUUUAGAACCGGCAAAUGACAGUAACGCGGUCAUACAUCCUGUUGCACUGGUGCCGUUAGUGGAGAGUUCCGGAUUAAUUUUGACCACCUGGGGGUGCAUCGUACUUUUGGCAACAGCACAAAAGCGACACGGGCCUUUUUGCCACCUGGGGGUUCUGUGAGGUGCACCUGAAUUUAAGUACACGCAUUAUAUACUGCAUUGUGCAAUGUGCCCCCGUCGAAAUGCGGCCGCCACAAACGGGAAUCGAGCCCGCGUCCUCGUCCUCGGCAGCAGAACGCCAUAUACAUGUAUAUCCGCUGCAUGAGCCACCCACGUUUAGGAGCAAAAUAUGAUUCUAGGAACGUUCACUAAUGUCCUAAGAAACUUAACAGCCUAAUUACUGUCCAAUAUGUUUUUAUGCGCUUCAGAAGUUAUCCUGAGCUAGUGAACUCACUCACAUCAAUACUUAUUUGUAAAAUGUCGUACAUGUUCCAUGCAAACGAGAGCAAGAAAAAAGGAAACGAGCGGCAUUUCAGUUGUCUAUGUUAUUAAAAGAAACAACGCAGUUCAGGAAUUGAGACAAACGUGGCAAUUCCUUAAAAGUUUCUCGACUGAGAUUCGACAAGCGAGCUUCACACCCACAAAAUAAAACUUGCCGCCAUCUCUGUGCUCGUUGAUAAGGAAUCAUGUUUGCUGCAGGGAGGAGCUCCGUUUGGACAAUGCUGCGUUUUCGUUUUAUUCAACGUCUUGUAAUAUCAUGCGCUUCCAACAUUGCCAUAGGGGAGUAAGUUUUGUUACUGUCACUAUGAAUUCCCGACUGAUUGACUACGAAUGAGAGUAACCGUCGAGUAAAAAUGACGCUAAAUUUCGCUUAAAGUGACCCUAAAUCUGCCCUACUGACAGGGGUACAGUUUUGCAUCAAAUUUCGAAUCUCUUGUUGAUUAACAUUUGCACCACUAUGUCAGAUUGCCAUUGCUGCCUUCAUGGUUCUCAUGGUGUGUUCCUGUUCCUAUAAAUAGCAUCGUUAAAGAGAAAGAAAAGAGAGCAUCCUGCGUGUCAGGUAUGAAACAAGAACAGGGAGUCUUUUUUUGCGCACUGCUGGCACAGGGCUUUAAACACAGGACUAUGAAUGUGGUUGUGACCUGAUAUGUUUGCGGUUGGCUAACUGCGAAUACAAAUAGAAUAUUCUCGUUUAGAAUCGAAAGUUGAUAUGCGAUUUUUUCACAUAUUUGGCUUAGCCGGAUAUUAACGGCUACUACUUUGGAGCGUGCUGGUUGGUAGAAAGAACUGUGCCUGUGAUAGUUAAAAAACUUCAGAUACUCCACUAUUCUGGUAACCUCUCUCUCUCUUUGUUCGAUCUGUAAUCAUUUUUCAGGGUAAAUAUUCCUACCCGUAUUGUAAAACAUUCGUCUCAACAAUGCGUUCAAAUUUAUUAUCUCGGCUGAACAGAAGUUUGUGCCUCUUGGUCAAGCUAACCGUAUUCAGCACACUAACAAUGUAUGCUGUUGUAGUUCCGCGGUACGAACAAUCACUUUCGAAACCAGAUUACUAUAUAAUCAACCUAUACUUAAUGUACACGUGGCUGUAUGACACAGCCUAUCCUAUAUUAAUGGCAUGGUGAUGUUAACAUAAACUGUGAUCAAUCUGAAUUUUUUCAUGUAAACUGGCUCCCAGCUGAACUGACUUGCAAACUGUUGUUGUCGCCUCAGAGCAUGGGUCGUACACCUCUGGCAAAUUAUGUUGCGAGUAUCGAAAGACGUAAAAGUUGUUUUUUCAACCUUGUUUUUUUCCUUUUCAUCCUUGCUUCUUUUAAA
rnacentral:lncRNA from 1 species